rnacentral:rRNA from 1 species
GACGAACGCUGGCGGCGUGCUUAACACAUGCAAGUCGAGCGAUGAAGUUCCUUCGGGAACGGAUUAGCGGCGGACGGGUGAGUAACACGUGGGUAACCUGCCUCAUAGAGGGGAAUAGCCUUCCGAAAGGAAGAUUAAUACCGCAUAAGAUUGUAGUUUCGCAUGAAACAGCAAUUAAAGGAGUAAUCCGCUAUGAGAUGGACCCGCGUCGCAUUAGCUAGUUGGUGAGGUAACGGCUCACCAAGGCGACGAUGCGUAGCCGACCUGAGAGGGUGAUCGGCCACAUUGGGACUGAGACACGGCCCAGACUCCUACGGGAGGCAGCAGUGGGGAAUAUUGCACAAUGGGGGAAACCCUGAUGCAGCAACGCCGCGUGAGUGAUGACGGUCUUCGGAUUGUAAAGCUCUGUCUUUAGGGACGAUAAUGACGGUACCUAAGGAGGAAGCCACGGCUAACUACGUGCCAGCCGCCGCCGUAAGAC